UACGGAGGGUGCAAGCGUUAUCCGGAUUCACUGGGUUUAAAGGGUGCGUAGGUGGGUUGGUAAGUCAGUGGUGAAAUCCCCGAGCUUAACUUGGGAACUGCCAUUGAUACUAUUUGUCUUGAAUACUGUGGAGGUUAGCGGAAUAUGUCAUGUAGCGGUGAAAUGCUUAGAUAUGACAUAGAACAUCAAUUGCGAAGGCAGCUGGCUACACAAAUAUUGACACUGAUGCACGAAAGCGUGGGGAUCAAACAGG
rnacentral:rRNA from 1 species